GAUGAACGCUGGCGGCGUGCCUAAUACAUGCAAGUCGAGCGAACAGACGAGGAGCUUGCUCCUCUGACGUUAGCGGCGGACGGGUGAGUAACACGUGGAUAACCUACCUAUAAGACUGGGAUAACUUCGGGAAACCGGAGCUAAUACCGGAUAAUAUAUUGAACCGCAUGGUUCAAUAGUGAAAGACGGUUUUGCUGUCACUUAUAGAUGGAUCCGCGCCGCAUUAGCUAGUUGGUAAGGUAACGGCUUACCAAGGCAACGAUGCGUAGCCGACCUGAGAGGGUGAUCGGCCACACGGGAACUGAGACACGGUCCAGACUCCUACGGGAGGCAGCAGUAGGGAAUCUGCCGCAAUGGGGGAAAGCCUGACGGAGCAACGCCGCGUGAGUGAUGAAGGUCUUCGGAUCGUAAAACGCUGUUAUUAGGGAAGAACAAAUGUGUAAGUAACUAUGCACGUCUUGACGGUACCUAAGCAGAAAGCCACGGCUAACUACGU
rnacentral:rRNA from 1 species